rnacentral:rRNA from 1 species
AGUGAACGCUGGCGGUAGGCCUAACACAUGCAAGUCGAACGGCAGCACAGUAAGAGCUUGCUCUUACGGGUGGCGAGUGGCGGACGGGUGAGGAAUACAUCGGAAUCUACUUUUUCGUGGGGGAUAACGUAGGGAAACUUACGCUAAUACCGCAUACGACCUACGGGUGAAAGCGGGGGAUCUUCGGACCUUGCGCGAUUGAAUGAGCCGAUGUCGGAUUAGCUAGUUGGCGGGGUAAAGGCCCACCAAGGCGACGAUCCGUAGCUGGUCUGAGAGGAUGAUCAGCCACACUGGAACUGAGACAUGGUCCAGACUCCUACGGGAGGCAGCAGUGGGGAAUAUUGGACAAUGGGCGCAAGCCUGAUCCAGCCAUACCGCGUGGGUGAAGAAGGCCUUCGGGUUGUAAAGCCCUUUUGUUGGGAAAGAAAAGCAGCAGGUUAAUACCCCGCUGUUCUGACGGUACCCAAAGAAUAAGCACCGGCUAACUUCGUG